GAUGAACGCUGGCGGCGUGCCUAAUACAUGCAAGUCGAGCGAACGGACGAGAAGCUUGCUUCUCUGAUGUUAGCGGCGGACGGGUGAGUAACACGUGGAUAACCUACCUAUAAGACUGGGAUAACUUCGGGAAACCGGAGCUAAUACCGGAUAAUAUUUUGAACCGCAUGGGUCAAAAGUGAAAGACGGUCUUGCUGUCACUUAUAGAUGGAUCCGCGCUGCAUUAGCUAGUUGGUAAGGUAACGGCUUACCAAGGCAACGAUGCAUAGCCGACCUGAGAGGGUGAUCGGCCACACUGGAACUGAGACACGGUCCAGACUCCUACGGGAGGCAGCAGUAGGGAAUCUUACGCAAUGGGCGAAAGCCUGACGGAGCAACGCCGCGUGAGUGAUGAAGGUCUUCGGAUCGUAAAACUCUGUUAUUAGGGAAGAACAUAUGUGUAAGUAACUGUGCACAUCUUGACGGUACCUAGUCAGAAAGCCACGGCUAACUACGUG
rnacentral:rRNA from 1 species